GACGAACGCUGGCGGCGUGCUUAACACAUGCAAGUCGAACGGAAAGGCCCUGCUUUUGUGGGGUGCUCGAGUGGCGAACGGGUGAGUAACACGUGAGUAACCUGCCCUUGACUUUGGGAUAACGUCAGGAAACUGGGGCUAAUACCGGAUAGGAGCUCCCGUUGCAUGGUGGGGGUUGGAAAGUUUCGGCGGUUGGGGAUGGACUCGCGGCUUAUCAGCUUGUUGGUGGGGUAGUGGCUUACCAAGGCUUUGACGGGUAGCCGGCCUGAGAGGGUGACCGGCCACAUUGGGACUGAGAUACGGCCCAGACUCCUACGGGAGGCAGCAGUGGGAAGUAUUGCACAAUGGGCGGAAGCCUGAUGCAGAAGCGCCGCGUGCGGGAUGACGGCCUUCGGGUUGUGAACCGCUUUAGCCUGUGACGAAGCGUGAGUGACGGUAAUGGGUAAAGAAGCACCGGCUAACUACGUG
rnacentral:rRNA from 1 species